rnacentral:rRNA from 1 species
UUUUAUGAGAGUUUGAUCCUGGCUCAGGACGAACGCUGGCGGCGUGCCUAAUACAUGCAAGUCGCACGCUUCUUUUUCCACCGGCGCUUGCUCCACCGGCAAAAGAAGAGUGGCGUAUGGGAGCGGAACACGUGUGCACCGAACGCAAAGGAAGGGGGA